UCCCAUAUCAAGCAGAACUGCAUAUACAUGUCAAACUGGAAGUGUGUGAGUACAUGAACAAAUUAAUGACUAGAGUUAUCACCUCUCAGCAAGCAUUUGAGUAUUUCAGUACAUGAGAAUACAGCACAGGAAGUAUACAUGGACCACUUAUAGUACAUGGGCGGCAGGACCGAGUAUAAAGGACUGAAAACUAUCACUGUCCAACAAGCAUCUUGAUAGUACAUGACAGAAAAGAUCUACGAGUAUCAUUUUGCGCCCUGUUUUAGUGCUUCCUGUUAAUCGAGCUUCAUCUGCUGGCAUUCCCGCUUGUACAUGGGAGUUUUUAACCUCCAUGGACUCGUAUACACUUCAUCAAUCAGUUUAAUCUACCUAGCUAAGAACACCAAAUAAGUAGGUGUCAGUUAGAAAAAUAUAUGAAGUAACAUAUCCUGAGAAGAGAGACAGUCAUUAUGUCCAACUUCAUCCACCACUCUGAUCAAGGUUAGAAUGUCAAAACUUAAGAUGAAAUUCCGAAUACACAUGUAACCAAUCACGAUAACCCUUGCGGUCGAUGCUGGCAUUCCAGCUUCUACAUGUUAAUUUUCAAAUCAAAUAAAAAUGGCAUGUGAUAGCAGGAUAAGUCUAACAGAGAGAGCACAAAUAUUUGUUGCAGCAUAUUUUGUUAUUCCAUUACAGAUUAUUUUAUGUCGUUAUGCCUACUGACUUGUGAAACCAACAACAUCGAAACUCAUUUUUCGCAAGAUGCCAUAUAAUACGCAUAAAUUCUAACUCAAAAAUAAUUCUAAAUACUGACAAACAUUCAUGUUCAUACCAUUGAAUGGACCUUAGCUGCUUGCAUAAAAACCAGCUCAUAAAAGUUCCAUAGUGAUGAAGGUUAGAGGUUAUGACCCAAGGUUACAACCAGCUCAUACAUUUAUUUACAUAAUUAUCCUAUUAGAAAUCCAUCCUUUAUAAAAACUUGGCAUUUUCAUAUAGCCUAUCGUAUGUACAAAUAAAAAAAACAUACUGUAUGAUAAAAUGAUGUGUCCAACCAUCGAAGCCAUUGGACAUUUUAAUCACUCAAAACUGGUUAUGAGUUCGGCAAGAAAAAUAUUAGCAGAGCCACUCCCUAAUAUAACCAGUGAAUGCAUAUUGUGAUAAUGAAAUGGAACAACCACAUAUACUAAUAUUUUUAGUAAAAUGUCCUAAAUUUCAAAUCGUAGAUUAUCUGCCGGUCAUCAACCUACCAACUUGGUCCCCGGAGUACUUAAUAGUGAAACAGAAGGACCAAAAUAGACUUUGAAACCACCACAAACAAUGGCAAUACAUAAUGAAAUGAAGUUACCAAUAUGCAUCAUUCACACAUGAGCAGGUUUGACAUGAACAAGUACAAAAAAAUAGAAUCGUAGAGAUGUAAUCAACUAGCUAAUAAAAUUAAGAUCGAGCACAAAUCUACUAGCUAAAUCAAGUUAGCAUCUAUUUACCAGACAAAUUAACAAUCAUGGUGAUGCCUUGUAGAUCUGCAGCACGUCACACAGGUUGGUUCGGAAGGAGCCGAGGAUCCCACCACCUAUGGCAACAGUCUGUGCAUGUGUCAGAAUAUAUACUAGGACACUUCCAAUUGUUGACUCUUAGGGUGUGUUUGGUUUGAGGAUCAAAAGUCAUGGAAUGUCAUGGUUCCAUCCCAAAGUCAUGGGUUGGUUCCAUCCUUGUGUUCAGUUGAUGAUAAAAUUGUUGACCCCCAAUUGGGAAACAUAAUUGUUGACCCCCAAUUGGGAAACAUAAUUCAUAUAUACUAGGACACUUCUUAAACUGGAGCAAUUUCAGCGAUGAAUCAUAUAUACAUGAAUCAGGACUUUGAUGUGCUGAUAAAUGGACAAAUUUCAUUUUAUUUUUUGCCUAGCAGAAUCAAGUUACUUUCUUUCGAACUUUUCAAGCUACUGACUUUGUAUACGGAACUGCAAGUAUUAAUCUUUUUAGCGAAUUAUACGCUAAACUGCAAGACGCUGAAAUUAUCUGACCGCAUUCAAUCUUCCAACUUGAUUCUCCACAUUACUUAUGAGUGAAACAAAACUUCCAAUUAGAAUAACAAAACGCUAGUACACAGUAGCAACACACCAUCAAAUCGAAAUUAGUAUGCAAAUCAUUCACUGGGAAAUUUUGACAUGAACAAAUAAUAGAACUAGAGAGAUGCAACAUAAAUCUACUUGAUAUUAAAAAUGGGAUGCAGCACAAAUUCACUAGCAAACGGACCACCUCGUCGCACGGGCCGGUCGGGAAGGAGCUGAGGAGACCAUCGCCGGCUAGCCGCCGACGAGGGGGAGGAGGACACUAGCUGUUACUGGAGAGAGGAGGCGACGAACCCACCGUUGUCGGAGCUUUAGAAGGGAAUCUACGACGGAAGCUGCGGGGCAGAGUUUAGUUGGUGGUCAGUUCCGAUCUGGUCCGCCUCCAACUGGGCUACCAGCCACAAAAGCUGCAAGCAGCCAUCGGGAGAAGGAGCAUCACCUCUACCAGGAGUGCUCACCCAACUUGGAGUAUGGAUCACCGCCCUCGGAGAAGAUUUGGUUCGUGCUGCCUCCACGGGAUCUGGGUUUCAACGAGGAGGCAUCGGGACGAAAUUAGCUACCAGGGAGGAACUUUUUUGCAAAUUUCACGCACAUAUCGCCUCACCCGAAUCUGAG
rnacentral:lncRNA from 1 species